rnacentral:rRNA from 1 species
CCUACGGGUGGCAGCAGUGGGGAAUAUUGCACAAUGGGGGAAACCCUGAUGCAGCAACGCCGCGUGCGUGAAGAAGUAUUUCGGUAUGUAAAGCUCUAUUAGUAGGGAAGAAGAUGACGGUACCUGAGUAAGAAGCCCCGGCUAACUACGUGCCAGCAGCCGCGGUAAUACGGAGGGGGCAAGCGUUAUCCGGAUUUACUGGGUGUAAAGGGAGCGUAGACGGUGUGACAAGUCUGAGGUGAAAGCCCGGGGCUCAACCCCGGGACUGCUUUGGAAACUGCCUGGCUGGAGUGCAGGAGAGGCAGGCGGAAUGCAUGGUGUAGCGGUGAAAUGCGUAGAGAUUAGGAAGAACACCAAUGGCGAAGGCGGCUUGCUAGACAGUAACUGACGUUGAGGCUCGAAAGCGUGGGGAGCAAACAGGAUUAGAUACCCGGGUAGUC